rnacentral:lncRNA from 1 species
CCGGAGCAAUGUGACUCAACCACAGGUUCAUCCCCACUUCAUCAGUGCAAUCCAUGAAAAAAGGUACACAAAAAUCCAAACCUUUACUAUUAAUCAAGAAAAAGGUUUUGGGGAGGAUUUGUUGAAAGGUGUGGCUGAGAUAGGUAAUGAGGUCAGGUCUAGGAGAUGGGGGAAGUUUAAUAAGUUGAUGAUCAAAGAUGAAGCUAAUCCGGG